GCCAGCAGCAUACCACCCUGCAUCCCACUGCUGGCUUGCAUUUGAAGCUAAGCAGGGUUGGUCCUGGAUGGGAGACCAGAUGCUGCUGGAA
rnacentral:rRNA from 1 species